CCCGGUCCAGUGGCAGGGUGCACAGCUUUGGGAAGAGAGAGCAGGCCAUCAAAAGAAAUCCCAACGUCCCCGUGGUGGUCCGAGGAUGGCUCUACAAACAGGACAGCUCUGGGAUGCGUCUCUGGAAGAGGAAGUGGUUCGUCUUGGCUGAUUUCUGUCUGUUCUAUUACAAAGACAGCAGAGAGGAGUCGGUGCUCGGCAGUAUUCCUCUGCCCAGCUAUGUCAUUUCACCCGUGGGAGCUGAGGACCACAUCAGCCGCAAGUAUGCCUUCAAGGU